rnacentral:tRNA from 1 species
GGCCGCCUGGCUCAAAUGGAUAGAGCCACCUGACUAUGGAUCAGGAGGUUGCAGGUUCGAGUCUGCGGUGGUCG